rnacentral:rRNA from 1 species
AUGGAGAUUGCGUCCCUGGUGAACUUGCUCAGGGAGAAGCAGUCUGACGUUCUUUCGCUCGAUCCUGAGACCGUGAGGAAAAUCACGUCCCUGAGGAGUGAGAUCGCGUGCCAGAAGUCGGCAAGGGAGCGGCAAGCCUUGGUUCCGGAGGUCAAACGCACAGUGCCGCGGAGCAAGAUCUCCAGGAGUAUAUACGAUCAUACCUGCAAUGCUGAUAAACAGAUGGCUGGCCAGUAUGCUGAGGACCAGAGGACCAAGGAGUAUGUGGAGACGACUGAUCAGGUGGACAAAGGCAAAUCCAGCACCCACUGUCUUAACCAGAGGAGCAAGGAAGAGGUGGAUGAAUCUGUAACAGAUUUGACAAUGGACCUUUGUAAAUCAUACAUGGAGGCGCACCAGAUGGCUGCUGAUAGCCAGAUGAUUGAUCUCACGAUGGACAAAGGCCAAUCAAGCACGGAGACGCAUGCCUCGAGGAUGAUAGACGCCGGAAAAUCAACUAGUGAAGGAGAAUCAAGUAACGAAGGCCAAUCAAGCACGGAGACGCAUGCGUCAAGGAUGAUGGACCAAGGAAAAUCAAGUAGUGAAGGCCAAUCAAGCACGGAGAUGCGUGCGUUUAGGAUGAUGGACCAACGAAAACUCGCUGGCGUGGACGAGCUCGCCUGCACACGGUAUCACGAUGCGUCCGUGAACAUGGUUAAACGGAGAGUGGCAUUUUGGCACAUGUGA